UUGACGUUGUUGCUGGAGGCUGCAGAUUCCCGUAAUGAGGGUUCAAAUUCAGAUCGUUCUUUUAGUUGUUAUUUUGCUGCUAACUCUCAGGUUAAGGCAGAUUGCACCCCGAAAGAAAAUAUCAACAAAAUAAGUGAACACUUCCUCAUUUCAACUGACACAUAUACAAACACACUCACAGACAAACACACAGACAGACAUGUUGAAUUAUUAUGGCUGCGUGUUAUUUUUGCUUGAGAUGCCCAGUCUCGUCCAGCCCUUAUAAUCCAAUCUCUUCCAUUUAACACUCCAUUCGGUGUAUUACACCAUCCACAAACUCAAUAAACUUUCAUAGAGCAUUCACCCUAAGGCCAAUGCCCUGCUGAUUCCGAGGACAUUUUAUAUGCCGCACAAUGUUGAACCCCCUCCUGCCCUCCCACUCUGUUCACUCCUUGUAUGAUUAAAUCCCUCAACACAGCCUAAUCCAAUGUCUCGCUCACCCCGAGUCCAUUUAAUAAAUGGCACUGUCGACUCCCACACUCCUGCUAACUCACCAUACGAUUUGAUGCUCUGACUGGUCUAAUCCCAAUUGCCUACGCACUCGCCAAACUCUUUAAUAUCCCAUUCAGUCUAAUCCCACUCUCCCGCUCAAUCCCUUACCAUUAAACGCUCUCCCUAAUAAUCCCAUCGUCCGACACUCUCCUUACAGGUUUUGGCAUCCACCCCGCCGAAUCCCACCCUCCUGUUUCAUCGUCCCAACUUUAACCAAUUCCACCCUUCUGCUCACAACCCAUGCAGUUCAAUACCUGACACAGUUUAAUACUGCGCUCCAGUUUAUCCCAAUGCACUUUACCAUUCCACACUUUAACCCACCGCUGCAGAUGGUGUCCCGCUCCAUCUAGUAUCCCACCAGACUUCACCCCCGUGUCCUGUUCAAACGCUGUGCCCUUAAUAUUCUCUAAAUAUAAUAACGAAUGUGGAAGGAGAGCCAACAAUAUCAAGUAGCGAGGAAGUCCAUCUCGUCUUAUCCUGCCACACACCUCAGUUCCACUGCUCUUUAAGAUGCUAUCUAGUCCCAAUCCAAUCGCCUGAUCACUCUGCAUAUAAUUAAGGAUUGCACCCAGUCUACUCCUUCUCGCCUGAUUUGUCCCCACAUCCUUCAGUAUCCCAACGGGACGUAAAGAAUAGCAAAGAAAAUGUGCGGAACAAGCCGCUUCUUUUAGUUCAUUUUUCCUUUUGUUCCUUCUGUACUAUCUGCAAUCGGCCGAUGCAUUUUUAGAGGCUAUCCCCGCAUUCCCGUAGCUAUUACCGCAGGAUGAUUAUUGUGGAAUUCAAGUGACUCAAGUUGUGCACUUUAACCCGCAAUUUUAUAGGAAUGUCCAGAGAGCGUCACCUGACAUGCCACCCUAACCUGUUAAUAUAUAAUAAGCGCCGGAGUAACGUCGGCAGUGUUACCUGGCGGGCUUGAAGUGUAAGCUGCGACUGUUGUUUUGCAAAGUCCUGAUUCUCAGGCAGAGAUAGAAGGCAGUUUGCUUCCAGGGAGCAGCGAAGAAUCUGUGCGAAGUGCAAACAAGGCAGAAAAAUGAAGCUGUUAUUUGUUGUCGCCAUUCUCUGCACUGGUAUAACUGAAGCUAUCAAAACCAUGAAUCUGACGUCGAAUCAAACUGAUUCCUACUCUACAACUACAGCUCCAAACAGCACAAUGACCCACCUUGCAACCAACACAUCAACCGCCGCCGCAAUGACAUGGAGCAGCCACGGCAGCAAUGAAACAACGACCAUCAGCGGGGGGAGUUCUUUGGCCCUCCCCCAAUCUCACGUCCUCCACUUUCUCACUCUCUCCGCUCUCUUGUUCACGUACUCGAGCUCUCUUCCCCUCCAGCUCUCAGGCGUCUGGUAACAGCGGGAAAAAGUUCAGAUGAAAAGGCCAAUGACGCCGAGCCGAGUCUGUUCCAGUUGCAGAUGGUGGGUGGGAUUGGACAUUCUCGACUCUCCUUGUGUGAUAAAUGCCGGGGGCGUACCCGGUUCUCGCUCCUUUAAUGUGAAUCUGUAACUGGGCUGAAUGCAAGAAUGAUUUGCUUUCGUUGUCGGUCUAUUAAUAUAAUCUGUUAGAAUUAAGGGUGAGGCUCUGGCUUUCUCUGCCUGCUGAUCACUACAAUAUAACCUGCAGAAGUAUUGCUACGCUUUAAAAACAGGCUUGCGUCAGUUUAGAACCCGUGAGGUAAGCAGAGCUGUAUACGGUCACUGUGCCCAUAGACAGGCAAGUGGCUGUUCACGUGAAUGCGCCCAUGAUUGGGCAGGAACCCCACGAUCGAGCAGCGAAAUGUGCGUGAACAGUUCGAAUUGUUAGCCUCAGCGGAGCCAGCAGGGGGCUUGCAAGGAUCGCGAGGACACUUACAGCGUGUUACUGGAACGCGGCGCACGACAGAACAAAGCAAGGACGGACAAUGGAGCAAUAGACAAGAGGCAAGGGAGCUGGGAGCUACGCAAUAACAUCGAAAGCUACUAGAAAGGAAGUGCUGUCUGCCACCGAGAGUCCACGUUGAAAGUAUAUAAGCUAGCAUUUUUCUGUAAAUAGCUGCCUGAAUAACAAAUGUCUAAUUUUGCGGUGCCUUUCUCUUAAUAAAGCUGCUCCAUAGUUGAGUUUUAUCGCGA